GCGGGAGUAGCUCAGCGGUAGAGCACCGCCCUUCCAAGGCGGCUGUCGUGGGUUCAAGUCCCAUCUCCCGCUCCA
rnacentral:tRNA from 1 species